rnacentral:rRNA from 1 species
UACGUAGGGUGCGAGCGUUAAUCGGAAUUACUGGGCGUAAAGUGUGCGCAGGCGGCCGCGCAAGUCGAGUGUGAAAUCCCCGAGCUUAACUUGGGAAUUGCGCUCGAAACUACUUGACUGGAGUGUGGCAGAGGAAGGUGGAAUUCCACGUGUAGCGGUGAAAUGCGUAGAGAUGUGGAGGAACACCAAUGGCGAAGGCAGCCUUCUGGGCCAACACUGACGCUCAUGCACGAAAGCGUGGGGAGCAAACAGG